rnacentral:tRNA from 2 species
ACCAGGAUGGCCGAGUGGUUAAGGCGUUGGACUUAAGUUCCAAUGUACGAAUGUACGCGUGGGUUCGAACCUCACUCCUGGUA